GCAAGCAGUAUUAAGAAACUAAAAGCAUAAGCAAAAAUAUAGAAGAUAAGCUAAGCAUGCAUAAAUUAACAGUAAAGAAAAGAUAGAAUGGUCUCAAGGAUGGGAGUUAUUGACUUCAAUAGAGUCUCUUAGUUUACAAGAGUGCCUUAACAAACUUAAUAAAGUUAUUACCUCAACAUUAAGCUUCUAAACCUAAUCAAUUCAAUCCCAAGGCAAAGAUUAUCAAACCCAUUACACUUCAUAAUCUCAUAUCCCUCUUUUGAAACAUGCAAUAGAUAGGCAUUAGAAACCAGCUUAAUCAUGUCAAAAU
rnacentral:lncRNA from 1 species